UCGAGCGAGAAAGCCCCUCGGGGUGAGUACAGCGGCGGACGGGUGAGUAACGCGUAGGAAUCUACCUAGUAGUGGGGGACAACUCGUGGAAACGCGAGCUAAUACCGCAUACGCCCUACGGGGGAAAGCGGGGGAUCUUCGGACCUCGUGCUAUUAGAUGAGCCUGCGUAAGAUUAGCUAGUUGGUGGGGUAAUGGCCUACCAAGGCGACGAUCUUUAGCUGGUCUGAGAGGAUGAUCAGCCACACCGGGACUGAGACACGGCCCGGACUCCUACGGGAGGCAGCAGUCGGGAAUAUUGCGCAAUGGGCGAAAGCCUGACGCAGCCAUGCCGCGUGUGUGAAGAAGGCCCUAGGGUUGUAAAGCACUUUCAAUUGGGAGGAAAAGCUAAUGGUUAAUAGCCAUUAGCCCUGACGUUACCUUUAGAAGAAGCACCGGCUAACUCCGUGCCAGCAGCCGCGGUAAUACGGAGGGUGCAAGCGUUAAUCGGAAUUACUGGGCGUAAAGCGCGCGUAGGCGGUUUUUUAAGUCGGAUGUGAAAGCCCCGGGCUCAACCUGGGAAUUGCAUCCGAUACUGGAUGACUAGAAUGCGGGAGAGGGAGGUAGAAUUCCAUGUGUAGCAGUGAAAUGCGUAGAUAUAUGGAGGAAUACCAGUGGCGAAGGCGGCCUCCUGGCUCGACAUUGACGCUGAGGUGCGAAAGCGUGGGGAGCAAACGGGAUUAGAUACCCCGGUAGUCCACGCCGUAAACGAUGUCUACUAGCUGUAGGGGUACUUGAGACCUUUGUAGCGCAGCUAACGCAAUAAGUAGACCGCCUGGGGAGUACGGCCGCAAGGUUAAAACUCAAAUGAAUUGACGGGGGCCCGCACAAGCAGUGGAGCAUGUGGUUUAAUUCGAUGCAACGCGAAGAACCUUACCAGGCCUUGACAUCCCCGGAACUUUCUAAGAGAUAGAUUGGUGCCUUCGGGAACCGGGUGACAGGUGCUGCAUGGCUGUCGUCAGCUCGUGUCGUGAGAUGGUUGGGUUAAGUCCCGUAACGAGCGCAACCCUUGUCCUUAGUUGCAGCACAUAAAUGGUGGGAACUCUAAG
rnacentral:rRNA from 1 species